rnacentral:rRNA from 1 species
UUACUGUAUCUUUAAAAGUUAGUCUAAAAAGGUUCAGCCUUUUAGAAAUGGGUACAACCUUCACUAGAGAGUAAGACUUUACAACACCAUAGUAGGCCUAAAAGCAGCCAUCAAUUAAGAAAGCGUUAAAGCUCAACAAUAAAAAUAAAAUUAAUCCCAACAAUAAUACAGCUAACUCCUAGACCUAAUACUGGACUAUUCUAUUAUUAAAUAGAAGCAAUAAUGUUAAUAUGAGUAACAAGAAAUAUUUUCUCCUUGCACAAGUUUAAGUCAGUAUCUGAUAAUAUUCUGACUGUUAACAGUAAAUAAAAACAACCCAACAAUAAAUAAUUUAUUAAUUGUACUGUUAACCCAACACAGGGGUGCACCCAGGAAAGAUUAAAAGAAGUAAAAGGAA